rnacentral:lncRNA from 1 species
AUGUGUGUGGUGUGUAUGGCUGUGUGGUGUGUGUGUGGCAUAUGGGUGUGUGGUGUGUGCAUGUAUGUGGUGUGGUGUAUGGCUGUGUGGUGUGUGUGUGGCAUAUGGGUGUGUGGUGUGUGCAUGUGUGUGGUGUGGUGUACGGCUGUGUGGUGUGUGUGUGUGGCGUAUGGGUGUGUGGUGUGUGCAUGUGUGUGGUGUGUACGGCUGUGUGGUGUGUGUGUGGCUUAUGGGUGUGUGGUGUGUGUGUGGUGUAUCGGUGUGUGGUGUGUGCAUGUGUGUGGUGUGUACGGCUGUGGUGUGUGUGUGGCAUAUGGGUGUGUGGUGUGUGCAUGUGUGUGGUGUGUACGGCUGUGUGGUGUGUGUGGCGUAUGGGUGUGUGGUGUGUGCAUGUGUGUGGUGUGUACGGCUGUGUGGUGUGUGUGUGGCUUAUGGGUGUGUGGUGUGUGCAUGUGUGCGGUGUGUACGGCUGUGUGGUGUGUGUGGCUUAUGGGUGUGUGGUGUGUGCAUGUGUGUGGUGUGUACAGCUGUGUGGUGUGUGUGGCGUAUGGGUGUGUGGUGUGUGUAUGUGUGUGGUGUGUACGGCUGUGUGUGUGGCAUAUGGGUGUGUGGUGGUGGGUGCGUGUGUGGUGUGUAGCCGUGUGGUGUGUGCAGCGUGGCGUGGUGUAUGGGUGUGUGGUGGUGGGUGCGUGUGUGGUGUGUAGCCAUGUGGUGUGGUGUGUGCAGCGUGGCAUGGUAUAUGGGUGUGUGGUGGGUGCAUGUGUGUGUGAUGUGUAGCUGUGUGGUGUGGUGUGUGUGCGGCGUGGCGUAUGGGUGUAUGUGUCUGUGAUGUGCGUCUGUGGUGUGGUGUGUGCGCGUGUGGUGUCGUAGUGGCAGGGGGUGGUGAGUGCCUAGCACUGUCUCUAGAAAAUGGCCACCCUGUGUUCCCACCACCCUGCCAGGAGGGGCAGGAAGGGGAGGCCUUGGCCACCGGCCAGACUUGAGCCUGGUCUGUGAGGCUGUUUUGGUCUCUGGCCUCACAGGCCAACAGAGAAGACAGACAAACAGGAAGAAAGCGGCUGCUUAGGCUGGGCUGGGCUGGGCUGAGCCAGGCCAGGCCUGGGUGCAGGGUGGGGCCGAGUGGAAAGAGAACC